rnacentral:rRNA from 1 species
UACGGAAGGCAGCAGUGGGGAAUAUUGCACAAUGGGCGAAAGCCUGAUGCAGCUAUGGCCGCGUGUAUGAAGAAGGCCUUAGGGUUGUAAAGUACUUUCAUCGGGGAGGAAAAACAAAACUAAUAAUUUUAUUUCUUGACGUUACCCGAAAAAGAAGCACCGGCUAACUCCGUGCCAGCAGCCGCGGUAAUACGGAGGGUGCUAGCGUUAAUCAGAAUUACUGGGCGUAAAGAGCACGUAGGUGGUUUUUUUAAGUCAGAUGUGAAAUCCCUGGGCUUAACCUAGGAACUGCAUUUUGAAACUGAAAUACUAGAGUAUCGUAGAGGGAGGUAGAAUUCUAGGUGUAGCGGUGAAAUGCGUAGAUAUCUGGAGGAAUACCUGUGGCGAAAGCGGCCUCCUAAACGAAUACUGACACUGAGGUGCGAAAGCGUGGGGAGCAAACAGGGAUUAGAUACC